rnacentral:rRNA from 1 species
UAUAGCUUGACACUGAACAUUGAGCCUUGAUGUGUAGGAUAGGUGGGAGGCUUUGAAGCGUGGACGCCAGUCUGCGUGGAGCCGACCUUGAAAUACCACCCUUUAAUGUUUGAUGUUCUAACGUGGAUCCGUAAUCCGGGUUGCGGACAGUGUCUGGUGGGUAGUUUGACUGGGGCGGUCUCCUCCUAAAGAGUAACGGAGGAGCACGAAGGUUGGCUAAUCCUGGUCGGACAUCAGGAGGUUAGUGCAAUGGCA